rnacentral:lncRNA from 1 species
GGUUGAUAACUUUGUCAGCAUUUAUCAAGUGGUACGCAUGUUGCACGUAGGCUUUGAUAUGUAUUUAUACUUCAACGAAAAUGUUUAUUUUACAGACGUCACUACCUCCAGUGGACAGUGCAGCCUCAAAUGAACAGUGUAAUUGGCUCGGCCAGGAGGCUGCUCUGCUCUGUACUUGCCUGAGCAGGGCUAUGACUUCUCCUGCAGUCAUGGCUGCCAUCACGAACCCUCUGGGACCAGAGGAAGCCCUUGACUGAGUGAGACCAACGCCCUGGCACUUCUCACAGAUUUUGCUUGAGUUUCUUCCAUACGUGGGCACAAAUGCCUGUAAGUAUAAACAGUAGCCAUCACGCCUUGCAGUGUGCUGUAUGUCUCUUUGCUGGUCUCUGCUUAUUUCCUCUAGAGUUCAUCCACCCGGCUGCCUCUAACCAUCUCAAUUCUCAUUCUCAGCUACCAGCAUUUAGUGCUCUUUGGAAAAGGCAAUAUGGUGUUGGGGGAAGUGGAGCUGCUCUCUGCUUUCCGUAAGCUUUUCUGGAAAGUGGGUAGAAACAGCUUCAAACUCCAAGAGGGAGCCUGCAGGCAUAGGGUGGGUUCCCCCAGGGUGGAGCACAUCUAGGACACAGAACUGGCCUCUUAGAAGAGAGUGAAGGUGGCUUGUGAGCUCUCCAGGGGACUAGGCUGCCAGUGUGUUCAGUCUGGGCAUUGGCAGGAGGCUCUCACUCCAGAAUGCCACUUAGACCACUCCUGGCUCUGUUCCUUUCUUUGUUCCUUCUCAGCCACUUUUCCUACCUAAUUGAACCCAAAUUGCUAAAAACAAACUUUCUCAGGGUUGUUCGCCUCCUGCUGGGUAUCAGCUUUCCAUAAAACCAAAAUUGCUGCUUUGUCUAGACCUGCACGCUCAAUCUUCUAUUUUGAGAGGAGCCCCAAGUUCACAGCAGCACAGCGGGGAGGUCAUGGUUCCACAAAGGCCUGCCUCCCACGGACACCCUCUCUCAGCCAUGCCAGCUUUAUGUAGCACGUCUCUGGGUUGUUUCGGAACAGACCUCCGUUGCUCUGGUCUUACCAGGGAUGACAGUGAAGACAGAAAUAGCAUGUUCAAAGCGACAGAAGAGAAAAAAUAGCGCAGAAAAGCAAACCUGAGACCUGAGGGUGAUCACCCAAAAGCCCCAGUCACAGAGGACUGGGGUCCACAGGCUUUCUUUUCCUCAGAUUCCACAGGCUUUCCUGCCUGCAAUUCCUGGGGGUGUUGGAAGCAUUCUUUUCUUAUCAUUAUCUCCCUUGGGACAGUAGUAUUGCAUAACACCUGGCUAUCCAGGAAAAAAUCGUGCGGGUUGCUUGUUUGCUCGUUUCCAUAGCAUCCGUGUCUAGGCUGUUAUUAUUCCAGUAUUUGCAUCAUCUAGCAGCCAGAGGUGAGUGGACAUGCAUGGCCACACAGCUUUAUAGGGUUUCCACCUUAUAGGCAAGAUUCACGUCAG